rnacentral:lncRNA from 1 species
GGUUCCGGUGCAAAAAGUUGACAUGCAUGUGUCUGGACACAUGGACACAACGAAUUACAAAUAUUGAAGUCUUAUCUUUCACCUAAGGCAACAACCAUUUUCUUAUCGGGGGGGGGGGGGGGCUGGGAUUUUUAUUAUGUUCAUAAAUAUUUUUUUCGGAACCUAAGCUUCCUCCGAUAAUUUUUUUUCCUAUAAUGUGGAACAGAAAUACAUUCUAUUUUUCUCAAAACCAUAAAAUUUACAUAUUAAUUCAUUUUAAUUUUUUAAUUGAUGUAAAAUGUAAACUGCAUGGCUCUGUCUAUAUCCUGGCAUUGGCUGUUGUCUCUGUUGUUUUUUUUAGCCCACUUUCUACAUUAUGAUAUUCUCUGAGUCCGUCAUACAGGUACCACAGUCCUUGAAUUUUAAUACUGCAAUUGAAGUGGCCACCAUUGCCAUAUGUAAGAGUGAGUAGCUCCAAAUUAUAAACAUCCACUGUUUCCAACUAUGAUAAUUGAUAUUCCAUUGAAAAAAGAGGUAUAAAAAAUGAUACAGAAUGAUACAAAGGAAAAUACACAAUCAGGGCUACUUUAAAAGACUGCUUUAAUAUGAUACCAUAUCUAUCCCUGUUAUAAAAUGACCAUAUCAGGGGCGGAUCCAGCCAUUUUAAAAAGGGGGGUUCCCAACCCAGAGUAAUGGGGGGGGGGGUUCCAGCUAUAUGCUCCCAUUCAAAUGCAUUGAUCGGCCAAAAAAAAGGGGGGGUUCCAACCCUGGAACCCCCCCUCUGGAUCCGCGCCUGCAUAUCAUGUUUAUAAUAGUUGCAGUUUUAAGUAUGUCUUAAUCUAGUAGCAUACAUGUACAUGCGGGAGAUUUGGAAUGCUUUUAAAUAUUUCUGGAUCAAACACUUACAGGAAAAUACAAAAAGUAAUAAGGUAUAAAUAUAAAUCUUAGCUUAAUCUGUAGACUGGACAGAUGUUUAUAAUCUGCUGUUUCACUGUCUCAACUGUUGUUAUUUUCACUAUUCUCAAAUUCAGCAGUGCAAAAUUUUUUUUCAAGCAGGUGACAGCAUAAUUUUUUUUUCAGCUACAUUGCAAAACAUAAAUUUUUUUUUCAGCUACAGUUUAAAACAUAAUUUUUUUUUCGUUCAUCUAGGCCAUUAAAAUAUUUUUUUUCAAAAAAAUCCCAGGCCCCCCAGAUAAUAAAAUGGUUGUUGCCUAAAUACAAACAAAUAGUAAAAAAAUUAAGAAAGAAAACAUUCCAGGAUAGUCCAAAUGUAACAAAUAUAGACCCCCCUUAUUUUUACUGAAAAAUCAAGUGUAGAAAAUACAUUUGUCUGUCUGUAAGUAUAUCCUCAGAACAAGAAAAUCUUCAUCAAACAUAGCUGUGAGAACAGAGCUAGGGAGAUACCCACUAGAGAUGCAUAUAAAAACUCAAAGUAUACUUUACUUUAUAUCAAGAUUACCAAAUUCUGAAAUUAAUCCAUUAUUAUAUGAAUCCUUUUUACUUUCUAUAAGUUUAGAUAAUUCAGGUUGCUAUACCUGGUUUACAUAUGUUAAAAAUAUUUUGAAAGAGGUAAACAUGGACAUAUCCAUUCUUGAGGGAAACAAAAGAAAAAAAUACUGAAAUUUAAAAAAAAAAACAACCUUAAAACAUCAAUUAUUAAAUUUCUACACAAAUAUAUUUUAACAAAAAUUUGAAAAAAUAGAUAAAAAAAGUAAAUUGUAUUUAUAUAAAAGUUUAAAGCAAAAUUUUAAAAUGGAAAACUACUUAAACUGUAAAUCUUUUGAAAAGAGAAGUAACAUAACAAAAAUGAGAAUUAGCUAUCAUAAUUUAGUGAUAGAAAAAGGAAGACAUUUAAAAAUACCUAUCUAGAGAAAAAAGACUAUGCACAUCCUGUAAUACAAUGGAGGAUAAAGCCCAUUUUAUUUUAUACUGUAAAAAAAAUGCUAAGCUAAGAGAUAACUUUAUAGGAAAUGUAAUUAAACAUAUGCCAGAUUUUAUGUCUUGGCAAGAAAAUGAAAAAAUUAAAUAUCUUUAAUCUGCGACACGCCCUGCCAGAAAAAAAAAACGACAUUAAACAUACACAAAGGCCUUAACAGAAAACAUACCUGCAAAUGUCCCAUAGGCCACACGACCUAAAGGAAAAAAAAGGAACCAUUUGACAUACACAAAGGCCUUAACAGAAAACAUACCUGCGAAUCUCCAAUCUGCGUCGCGCCCUGCCAGAAAAAAAGAAAAGACAACAUUAGACAUACACAAAGGUCUUAACAGAAAACAUACCUGGGAAUCCUCAAUCUGCGUCGCGCCCUGCUAGAAAAAAAGAAAAGGCGCAAUUAGACAUACACAAAGGUCUUAACAGAAAACAUACCUGGGAAUCCUCAAUCUGCGUCGCGCCCUGCUAGAAAAAAAGAAAAGGCGCAAUUAGACAUACACAAAGGUCUUAACAGAAAACAUACCUGGGAAUCCUCAAUCUGCGUCGCGCCCUGCAAAAAAAAAAAAAGGCCACACGACCUAAAGGAAAAAAAAAAGAAACCAUUAGACAUACACAAAGGUCUUAACAGAAAACAUACCUUGGAAUCCUCAAUCUGCGUCGCGCCCUGCUAGAAAAAAAGAAAAGGCGCAAUUGGACAUACACAAAGGUCUUAACAGAAAACAUACCUGGGAAUCCUCAAUCUGCGUCGCGCCCUGCAAAAAAAAAAAGGCCACACGACCUAAAGGAAAAAAAAAAAACAUUAGACAUACACAAAGGUCUUAACAGAAAACAUACCUGGGAAUCCUCAAUCUGCGUCGCGCCCUGCUAGAAAAAAAGAAAAGGCGCAAUUAGACAUACACAAAGGUCUUAACAGAAAACAUACCUGGGAAUCCUCAAUCUGCGUCGCGCCCUGCUAGAAAAAAAGAAAAGGGACAACCUUAGACAUACACAAAGGUCUUAACAGAAAACAUACCUGGGAAUCCUCAAUCUGCGUCGCACCCUACUAGAAAAAAAGAAAAGGCGAAAUUAGACAUACACAAAGGUCUUAACAGAAAACAUACCUGAAAAUCUCCAAUCUGCGAUGCGCCCUGCCAGAAAAAAAAGAAAAGGCGCAAUUAGACAUACACAAAGGUCUUAACAGAAAACAUACCUGGGAAUCCUCAAUCUGCGUCACGCCCUGCAAAAAAAAAAAGGCCACACGACCAAGCCCUGCUAGAAAAAAAAAAGGCGACAUUAGACAUACACAAAGGUCUUAACAGAAAACAUACCUGAAAAUCCUCAAUCUGCGUCGCGCCCUGCUAGAAAAAAAGAAAAGGCGACAUUAGACAUACACAAAGGCCUUAACAGAAAACAUACCUUCGAAUCUUCAAUCUGCAUCGCGCCCUGCUGGAAAAAAAAGAAAAGGCGCAAUUAGACAUACACAAAGGUCUUAACAGAAAACAUACCUGGGAAUCCUCAAUCUGCGUCGCGCCCUGCUAGAAAAAAAGAAAAGGCGCAAAUUAGACAUACACAAAGGUCUUAACAGAAAAACAUACCUGGGAAUCCUCAAUCUGCGUCGCGCCCUGCUAGAAAAAAAGAAAAGGCGCACAUUAGACAUACACAAAGGUCUUAACAGAAAACAUACCUGGGAAUCCUCAAUCUGCGUCGCGCCCUGCUAGAAAAAAAGAAAAGGCGCAAUUAGACAUACACAAAGGUCUUAACAGAAAACAUACCUGGAAAUCCUCAAUCUGCGUCGCGCCCUGCAAAAAAAAAAAAAAAAGGCCACACGACCUAAAGGAAAAAAAAGAAACCAUUAGACAUACACAAAGGUCUUAACAGAAAACAUACCUGGGAAUCUCCUAAUCUGCGUCGCGCCUGCUAGAAAAAAAGAAAAGGACAACAUUAGACAUACACAAAGGUCUUAACAGAAAACAUACCUGAAAAUACUCAAUCUGCGUCGCGCCCUGCUAGAAAAAAAGAAAAGGCAACAUUAGACAUACACAAAGGCCUUAACAGAAAACAUACCUUCAAAUCUUCAAUCUGCGUCGCUCCCUGCUGGAAAAAAAAGAAAAGGCGACAUUAGACAUACUCAAAGGCCUUAACAGAAAACAUACCUGGGAAUCCUCAAUCUGCGUCGCGCCCUGCUAGAAAAAAAAGAAAAAGGCGCACAUUAGACAUACACAAAGGUCUUAACAGAAAACAUACCUGGGAAUCCUCAAUCUGCGUCGCGCCCUGCUAGAAAAAAAGAAAAGGCGAAAUUAGACAUACACAAAGGUCUUAACAGAAAACAUACCUGGAAUCCUCAAUCUGCGUCGCGCCCUGCUAGAAAAAAAGAAAAGGCGCACAUUAGACAUACACAAAGGUCUUAACAGAAAACAUACCUGGGAAUCCUCAAUCUGCGUCGCGCCCUGCUAGAAAAAAAGAAAAAGGCGAACAUUAGACAUACACAAAGGUCUUAACAGAAAACAUACCUGGGAAUCCUCAAUCUGCGUCGCGCCCUGCAAAAAAAAAAAAGGCCACACGACCUAAAGGAAAAAAAAAAGAACCAUUAGACAUACACAAAGGUCUUAACAGAAAACAUACCUGGGAAUCCUCAAUCUGCGUCGCGCCCUGCUAGAAAAAAAAGAAAAGGCGCAACAUUAGACAUACACAAAGGUCUUAACAGAAAACAUACCUGGAAUUCCUCAAUCUGCGUCGCGCCCUGCUAGAAAAAAAGAAAAGACAACAUUAGACAUACACAAAGGUCUUAACAGAAAACAUACCUGGGAAUCCUCAAUCUGCGUCGCGCCCUGCUAGAAAAAAAGAAAAAGACAACAUUAGACAUACACAAAGGUCUUAACAGAAAACAUACCUGGGAAUCCUCAAUCUGCCAGAAAAAAAGGAAAAGACAACAUUAGACAUACACACAGGUCUUAACAGAAAACAUACCUGGGAAUCCUCAAUCUGCAUCGUGCCCUGCUAAAAAAAAAGAAAAGGCGAAAUUAGACAUACACAAAGGUCUUAACAGAAAACAUACCUGGGAAUCCUCAAUCUGCGUCGCGCCCUGCAAAAAAAAAAAAGGCCACAGACCUAAAGGAAAAAAAAAGAACCAUUAGACAUACACAAAGGUCUUAACAGAAAACAUACCUGGAAUACCUCAAUCUGCGUCGCGACCUGCUAGAAAAAAAGAAAAGGCGACAUUAGACAUACACAAAGGUCUUAACAGAAAACAUACCUGAGAAUCCUCAAUCUGCGUUGCGCCCUGCUUGAAAAAAAGAAAAGGCGAAAUUAGACAUACACAAAGGUCUUAACAGAAAACAUACCUAAAUCCUCAAUCUGCGUCGCGCCCUGCUAGAAAAAAAGAAAAGGCAACAUUAGACAUACACAAAGGUCUUAACAGAAAACAUACCUGAAAAUCCUCAAUCUGCGUCACGCCCUGCUAGAAAAAAAGAAAAGGCGAAAUUAGACAUUCACAAAGGUAUUAACAGAAAACAUAGCUGAAAAUCCUCAAUCUGCGUCGCGCCCUGCAAAAAAAAAAAAAAGUCCACACGACCUAAAGGAAAAAAAAAGGAACCAUUAGACAUACACAAAGGUCUUAACAGAAAACAUACCUAAAUCCUCAAUCUGUGUCGCGCCCUGCUAGAAAAAAAGAAAAGGCAACAUUAGACAUACACAAAGGUCUUAACAGAAAACAUACCUGAAAAUCCUCAAUCUGCGUCACGCCCUGCUAGAAAAAAAGAAAAGGCGAAAUUAGACAUUCACAAAGGUCUUAACAGAAAACAUACCUGAAAAUCCUCAAUCUGCGUCGCGCCCUGCUAGAAAAAAAGAAAAAGGCGCAACAUUAGACAUACACAAAGGUCUUAACAGAAAACAUACCUGGGAAUCCUCAAUCUGCGUCGCGCCCUGCUAGAAAAAAAGAAAAGGCGCAACAUUAGACAUACACAAAGGUCUUAACAGAAAAACAUACCUGGAAUCCUCAAUCUGCGUCGCGCCCUGCCAGAAAAAAAAGAAAAGACAACAUUAGACAUACACAAAGGUCUUAACAGAAAACAUACCUGGGAAUCCUCAAUCUGCGUCGCGCCCUGCUAGAAAAAAAGAAAAGACAACAUUAGACAUACACAAAGGUCUUAACAGAAAACAUACCUGGGAAUCCUCAAUCUGCGUCGCGCCCUGCCAGAAAAAAAAAGAAAAGGCGACAUUAGACAUACACAAAGGUCUUAACAGAAAACAUACCUGAAAAUCCUCAAUCUGCGUCGCGCCCUGCAAAAAAAAAAAGGCCACACGACCUAAAGGAAAAAAAAAAAGAACCAUUAGACAUACACAAAGGUCUUAACAGAAAACAUACCUGGGAAUCCUCAAUCUGCGUCGCGCCCUGCUAGAAAAAAAGAAAAGGCGCAACAUUAGACAUACACAAAGGUCUUAACAGAAAACAUACCUGAAUCUCAAUCUGCGUCGCGCCCUGCCAGAAAAAAAAGAAAAGACAACAUUAGACAUACACAAAGGUCUUAACAGAAAACAUACCUGGGAAUCCUCAAUCUGCGUCGCGCCCUGCUAGAAAAAAAGAAAAGGCGAACAUUAGACAUACACAAAGGUCUUAACAGAAAACAUACCUGAAUCCUCAAUCUGCGUCGCGCCCUCUUCCAGAAAAAAAGAAAAGGCGACAAUUAGACAUACACAAAGGUCUUAACAGAAAACAUACCUGGGAAUCCUCAAUCUGCGUCGCGCCCUGCAAAAAAAAAAGGCCACACGACCUAAAGGAAAAAAAAAGAACCAUUAGACAUACACAAAGGUCUUAACAGAAAACAUACCUGAAUUCCUCAAUCUGCGUCGCGCCCUGCUAGAAAAAAAGAAAAGGCGACAUUAGACAUACACAAAGGCCUUAACAGAAAACAUACCUGGAAUCUCAAUCUGCGUCGCGCCCUGCUAGAAAAAAAGAAAAGGACAACAUUAGACAUACACAAAGGUCUUAACAGAAAACAUACCUGGGAAUUCCUUAAUCUGCGUCGCGCCCUGCCAGAAAAAGAAAAGGCGACAUUAGACAUACACAAAAACCUUAACAGAAAACAUACCUGAAAAUCCUCAAUCUGCGUCGUGCCCUGCCAGAAAAAAAGAAAAGGCAACAUUAAACAUACACAAAGGUCUUAACAGAAAACAUACCUGAAAAUCCUCAAUCUGCGUCGCGCCCUGCUAGAAAAAAAGAAAAGGCGACAUUAGACAUACACAAAGGCCUUACCAGAAAACAUACCUGAAAAUCCUCAAUCUGCGUCUCGCCCUGCUAGAAAAAAGGAAAAGGCGACAUUAGACAUACACAAAGGCCUUAACGGAAAACAUACCUGCGAAUCUCCAAUCUGUGUCGCGCCCUGCCAGAAAAAAAGAAAAGGCAACAUUAGACGUACACCAAGGUCUUAACAGAUAACAUACCUGAAAAUCCUCAAUCUGCGUCGCGCCCUGCCAGAAAAAAAGAAAAGGCAACAUUAGACAUACACAAAGGUCUUAACAGAAAACAUACCUGGAAAAUCCUCAAUCUGCGUCGCGCCCUGCAAAAAAAAAAAGGCCACACGACCUAAAGGAAAAAAAAAAGAACCAUUAGACAUACACAAAGGUCUUAACAGAAAACAUACCUGCGAAUCUCAAUCUGCGUCGCGCCCUGCCAGAAAAAAAGAAAAGGCAACAUUAGACAUACACAAAGGUCUUAACAGAAAACAUACCUGGAAUUCCUCAAUCUGCGUCGCGCCCUGCUAGAAAAAAAGAAAAGACAACAUUAGACAUACACAAAGGUCUUAACAGAAAACAUACCUGAAAUCCUCAAUCUGCGUCGCGCCCUGCUAGAAAAAAAGAAAACACAACAUUAGACAUACACAAAGGUCUUAACAGAAAACAUACCUGCGAAUCUUCAAUCUGCGUCGUGCUCUUCCAGAAAAAAAGAAAAGGCAACAUUAAACAUACACAUAGGCCUUAACAAAAAACAUACCAGCAAAUGUAGCAUAGGCCACACGACCUAAAGGAAAAAAAAAGGAACCAUUAGACAAACACAAAGGCCUUAACAGAAAACAUACCUGAAAAUCUUCAAUCUGCAACGCACCCUGCUAGAAAAAAAGAAAAGGCAACAUUAGACAUACACAAAGGUCUUAACAGAAAACAUACCUGAAAAUCCUCAAUCUGUGUCGCGCCCUGCUAGAAAAAAAGAAAAGACAACAUUAGACAUACACAAAGGUCUUAACAGAAAACAUACCUAAAUCCUCAAUCUGCGUCGCGCCCUGCAAAAAAAAAAAAAAGUCCACACGACCUAAAGGAAAAAAAAAGGAACCAUUAGACAUACACAAAGGUCUUAACAGAAAACAUACCUAAAUCCUCAAUCUGUGUCGCGCCCUGCUAGAAAAAAAGAAAAGACAACAUUAGACAUACACAAAGGUCUUAACAGAAAACAUACCUGGGAAUCCUCAAUCUGCGUCGCGCCCUGCUAGAAAAAAAGAAAAGGCGAAAUUAGACAUACACAAAGGUCUUAACAGAAAACAUACCUGGAAUCCUCAAUCUGCGUCGCGCCCUGCUAGAAAAAAAGAAAAGGCGAACAUUAGACAUACACAAAGGUCUUAACAGAAAACAUACCUGGGAAUCCUCAAUCUGCGUCGCGCCCUGCUAGAAAAAAAGAAAAAGGCGCAACAUUAGACAUACACAAAGGUCUUAACAGAAAACAUACCUGGAAAAUCUCCAAUCUGCGAUGCGCCCUGCCAGAAAAAAAAGAAAAGACAACAUUAGACAUACACAAAGGUCUUAACAGAAAACAUACCUGGGAAUCCUCAAUCUGCGUCACGCCCUGCUAAAAAAAAAAAAAAGGCCACACGACCUAAAGGAAAAAAAAAGAACCAUUAGACAUACACAAAGGUCUUAACAGAAAACAUACCUGAAAUCCUCAAUCUGCGUCGCGCCCUGCUAGAAAAAAAGAAAAGGCAACAUUAGACAUACACAAAGGUCUUAACAGAAAACAUACCUGAAAAUCCUCAAUCUGCGUCACGCCCUGCUAGAAAAAAAGAAAAGGCGAAAUUAGACAUUCACAAAGGUCUUAACAGAAAACAUACCUGAAAAUCCUCAAUCUGCGUCGCGCCCUGCUAGAAAAAAAAGAAAAGACAACAUUAGACAUACACAAAGGUCUUAACAGAAAACAUACCUGGAAUUCCUCAAUCUGCGUCGCGACCUGCUAGAAAAAAAGAAAAGACAACAUUAGACAUACACAAAGGUCUUAACAGAAAACAUACCUGGAAUCCUCAAUCUGCGUCGCGCCCUGCUAGAAAAAAAGAAAAGGCGCACAUUAGACAUACACAAAGGUCUUAACAGAAAAACAUACCUGGAAUCCUCAAUCUGCGUCGCGCGCCCUGCAAAAAAAAAAAAAGGCCACACGACCUAAAGGAAAAAAAAAAGAAACCAUUAGACAUACACAAAGGUCUUAACAGAAAACAUACCUGGAAUCCUCAAUCUGCGUCGCGCCCUGCUAGAAAAAAAGAAAAGCAACUUUAGACAUACACAAAGGUCUUAACAGAAAACAUACCUGCGAAUCUCCAAUCUGCGUCGCGCCCUGCCAGAAAAAAAGAAAAGACAACAUUAGACAUACACAAAGAUCUUAACAGAAAACAUACCUGGAAUUCCUUAAUCUGCGUCGCGCCCUGCCAGAAAAAGAAAAGGCGACAUUAGACAUACACAAAAACCUUAACAGAAAACAUACCUGAAAAUCCUCAAUCUGCGUCGUGCCCUGCCAGAAAAAAAGAAAAGGCAACAUUAAACAUACACAAAGGUCUUAACAGAAAACAUACCUGAAAAUCCUCAAUCUGCGUCGCGCCCUGCUAGAAAAAAAGAAAAGGCGACAUUAGACAUACACAAAGGCCUUACCAGAAAACAUACCUGAAAAUCCUCAAUCUGCGUCUCGCCCUGCUAGAAAAAAGGAAAAGGCGACAUUAGACAUACACAAAGGCCUUAACGGAAAACAUACCUGCGAAUCUCCAAUCUGUGUCGCGCCCUGCCAGAAAAAAAGAAAAGGCAACAUUAGACGUACACCAAGGUCUUAACAGAUAACAUACCUGAAAAUCCUCAAUCUGCGUCGCGCCCUGCCAGAAAAAAAGAAAAGGCAACAUUAGACAUACACAAAGGUCUUAACAGAAAACAUACCUGAAAUCCUCAAUCUGCGUCGCGCCCUGCUAGAAAAAAAGAAAAGGCGCAAUUAGACAUACACAAAGGUCUUAACAGAAAACAUACCUGGGAAUCCUCAAUCUGCGUCGCGCCCUGCCAGAAAAAAGAAAAGGCCAAUUAGACAUACACAAAGGUCUUAACAGAAAACAUACCUGGGAAUCCUCAAUCUGCGUCGCGCCCUGCUAGAAAAAAAGAAAAGGCGAA